GCUCAUGUUAAAACUCUUGGACUUCGUAGGAUUUGAUUGUGUAAAUAGUCGAUUAUUUUUUGGUCUUUUAUUUUUUUGUAAUUUUUGGUUAUUUAAUUAUAAUUUAUUAUUUUGGUAAAGAUAUUUGGUAAGAUUAGUACACGUGCAUAUAUUUUUGAUGUCAUUAUUAAACUGAUUGAUAGUACGUCACAGGCUGAUUGACCCUCUCAUACGGGCAAUUAUUCUUUUCGUCGCUGUAGAGAUCAAGCGAAAAUUGAGGCAUUAAUGAA
rnacentral:lncRNA from 1 species